UUGGCAGGAAUAUUAUGAAAGCGAUGAGAUCCUCAAAUUAAGACAAAGUGCUCUCAAAAAAGAAGAUGCUGAUCUUCAAUUAGAAA